CCUACGGGAGGCAGCAGUGAGGAAUAUUGGUCAAUGGACGCAAGUCUGAACCAGCCAUGCCGCGUGCAGGAAGACGGCUCUAUGAGUUGUAAACUGCUUUUGUACGAGGGUAAACUCAGAUACGCGUAUCUUUCUGAACGUAUCGUACGAAUAAGGAUCGGCUAACUCCGUGCCAGCAGCCGCGGUAAUACGGAGGAUUCAAGCGUUAUCCGGAUUUAUUGGGUUUAAAGGGUGCGUAGGCGGUCGGAUAAGUUAGCGGUGAAAUCCCGGGGCUCAACUUCGGAAUUGCCUCUGAUACUGUUCGGCUAGAGAGUAGUUGCGGUAGGCGGAAUGUAUGGUGUAGCGGUGAAAUGCUUAGAGAUCAUACAGAACACCGAUUGCGAAGGCAGCUUACCAAGCUACUUCUGACGUUGAGGCACGAAAGCGUGGGGAGCAAACAGGAUUAGAUACCCGUGUAGUC
rnacentral:rRNA from 1 species